GCACUCGCAGUGCACCAGCCUUUUUCUGCAGCGGCCGGGCCUGCCUGGUCACGGCCGGACUGGACUACGUGCAUCGUGCGUGCUCCAGUCCGGCCGUGGCCGGGCUUUGCACUUCACCACAUUGUGAAGACUGGGACGGCUAAUGGCAUUUCCGUUUCCUACACGCACAAGCAUCUGAGCUAGGCACAUACCCGUAUGCUCACCCCCUGGGGUGCACAUGGACACGCCGAUCAUCGGGACCUUCUUUCAUCGGCGCCCCCAUCCAAGCGAAGGCAGCUAGACCUCUCUCAAGCACCGAGUUUGCCGAAUGGAGAAACCUUGGUUCGCCGACUCUACGCCGCCUGAGGCUGGCUUCUAUGGUCUACAGUGGUCCUUGUCCAAGUACUUCUGGCCUACGCUCUCAACUACCUACAAUGGACGAAACUUUUUUAUUUUUAUUUUUAUUAUUAUUUUUAGGCCUGCGAAGCGAUAACUGCGAACAAGUGUCGACUUCAUAUUUCUCCAGGGGGACGAAGAAUGCAAGCGAUUUUACAUUUCAAGAAUAAAUACACGACUCUGUUUUA